CAAGCAGGGGAAAGUUUCCCCACCUUCAAACCCUAAUAUCCACAAAUCUCUUAAAUUGGAGGUGCAAAUCCAAUCCAAAACGAAAUCCGAGCUUAGAAUUGUGAUCCUCAUUGCAAGAGGAUUAAGAGGCAAAGAGUCCGGAUCAUCAAGCGGACAAGCCGGAGGGAAUUCACGGGGAAAAAGUGUGCUCUAAAGUUUUUCAGGUAUUCAAGUAGAAGGAUGAUGAUCAAGCAUAAGUAUCCGAACCGAACACUCAAACAAACGCUUCCGCACUUGAUAUUUGGUUUUUUUAAAACUAUGUAAAAAAAAUUGUAGAUCCUGUUUUGUAUAUGUUUUCGUAGGAUUAACAUGUUGAUGUAUUAUCUAGUUAACAUUUCAAGUCUUGAAAGUUUUUGUAAACUCCAAAUUUGGUAUAAAAUGCAAGGUCUUAUGUA